UACGUAGGGGGCAAGCGUUGUCCGGAAUCAUUGGGCGUAAAGCGCGCGUAGGCGGCCCGGUAAGUCCGCUGUAAAAGUCCAGGGCUCAACCCUGGAAAGCCGGUGGAUACUGUGGGACUAGAGUACGGAAGAGGCGAGUGGAAUUCCUGGUGUAGCGGUGGAAUGCGCAGAUAUCAGGAGGAACACCAAUAGCGAAGGCAGCUCGCUGGGACGUUACUGACACUGAGGCGCGAAAGCGUGGGGAGCGAACAGG
rnacentral:rRNA from 1 species